CCAAAGUGCAAAUUUGGCCACGCACCCUAAAGCAGGUGCCGGGGCUU
rnacentral:tRNA from 1 species